UACGUAGGUGGCAAGCGUUGUCCGGAUUUAUUGGGUUUAAAGGGUGCGUAGGCGGCAUUUUAAGUCAGUGGUGAAAUACUUCAGCUUAACUGGAGAGGUGCCAUUGAUACUGGGAUGCUUGAGUACUGAUGAGGUAGGCGGAAUGGACGGUGUAGCGGUGAAAUGCGUAGAUAUCGUAAGGAAGACCAGUGGCGAAGGCGGGUCUCUGGACAGUUCCUGACACUGAGGCACGAAGGCCAGGGGGAGCAAAACGGGG
rnacentral:rRNA from 1 species